CCUACGGGAGGCUGCAGUGAGGAAUAUUGGUCAAUGGGCGCGAGCCUGAACCAGCCAAGUCGCGUGAGGGAAGACGGCCCUACGGGUUGUAAACCUCUUUUGCCGGGGAGCAACGGGCGCCACGUGUGGCGCCACUGAGAGUACCCGGAGAAAAAGCAUCGGCUAACUCCGUGCCAGCAGCCGCGGUAAUACGGAGGAUGCGACCUUUAGCCGGAUUUAUUGGGUUUAAAGGGUGCGUAGGCGGAGCGUUAAGUCAGUGGGCAAAUUGUGGGGCUCAACCCCUUCCCGCCAUUGAAACUGGCGCUCUUGAGUGGAAGAGAGGUAUGCGGAAUGCGUGGUGUAGCGGUGAAAUGCAUAGAUAUCACGCAGAACCCCGAUUGCGAAGGCAGCAUGCCGGCUUCCUACUGACGCUGAAGCACGAAAGCGUGGGGAUCGAACAGGAUUAGAUACCCCUGUAGUC
rnacentral:rRNA from 1 species